rnacentral:lncRNA from 1 species
GUUUAUAUUACACUGAUAUGGCAUGUUUGUCUUUUAUGUGAUACAACAUUGGGAUCUAAAGGAUAACAUCACAGCAAGCUUCUGUUAUAGUAUACAGCCCCAUAAUAAUAGGUAAUCUUUUCUACCUCUGAUAAAUUUUAUCAAUCUUUAUGCUACUAACUCUCUUCGGUUUGUGCUUUUUUAAAUUUACAAUGCCGAGUGAAAUCUUGAUUAUGCUCUCAAUUUUCUUUUCCCUCAUUUGUUUUUUUAUCUGUCAUGUGGGAACUCCAAGUCAUUUUCCACUACUUUGAAGUGUUGAGGCUUCUGUCCAGAGCAGUGGAGGUUCCACAUUUUGAAGUAUGACCUCUCAAGAUUCUUCACCUGUAGUAGUAAACCAAUGGGAAACUAACUGGUUAAAGAAACAAACCGGAACAAGAGAGGAAUGGAGAUAAGAACCAAG